rnacentral:rRNA from 1 species
CCGAAUGGGGAAACCCAGUGUGAUUCGUCACACUAUCAUUAACUGAAUCCAUAGGUUAAUGAGGCGAACCGGGGGAACUGAAACAUCUAAGUACCCCGAGGAAAAGAAAUCAACCGAGAUUCCCCCAGUAGCGGCGAGCGAACGGGGAGGAGCCCAGAGCCUGAAUCAGCAUGUGUGUUAGUGGAAGCGUCUGGAAAGGCGCGCGAUACAGGGUGACAGCCCCGUACACAAAAGCGCAUGUGCUGUGAGCUCGAUGAGUAGGGCGGGACACGUGGUAUCCUGUCUGAAUAUGGGGGGACCAUCCUCCAAGGCUAAAUACUCCUGACUGACCGAUAGUGAACCAGUACCGUGAGGGAAAGGCGAAAAGAACCCCGGCGAGGGGAGUGAAAAAGAACCUGAAACCGUGUACGUACAAGCAGUGGGAGCACAGGUUUACCUGUGUGACUGCGUACCUUUUGUAUAAUGGGUCAGCGACUUAUAUUCUGUAGCAAGGUUAACCGUAUAGGGGAGCCGGAGGGAAACCGAGUCUUAAUUGGGCGUUAAGUUGCAGGGUAUAGACCCGAAACCCGGUGAUCUAGCCAUGGGCAGGUUGAAGGUUGGGUAACACUAACUGGAGGACCGAACCGACUAAUGUUGAAAAAUUAGCGGAUGACCUGUGGCUGGGGGUGAAAGGCCAAUCAAACCGGGAGAUAGCUGGUUCUCCCCGAAAGCUAUUUAGGUAGCGCCUCGUGAAUUCAUCUCCGGGGGUAGAGCACUGUUUCGGCUAGGGGGCCAUCCCGGCUUACCAACCCGAUGCAAACUGCGAAUACCGGAGAAUGUUAUCACGGGAGACACACGGCGGGUGCUAACGUCCGUCGUGAAGAGGGAAACAACCCAGACCGCCAGCUAAGGUCCCAAAGUCAUGGUUAAGUGGGAAACGAUGUGGGAAGGCCCAGACAGCCAGGAUGUUGGCUUAGAAGCAGCCAUCAUUUAAAGAAAGCGUAAUAGCUCACUGGUCGAGUCGGCCUGCGCGGAAGAUGUAACGGGGCUAAACCAUGCACCGAAGCUGCGGCAGCGA